rnacentral:rRNA from 1 species
CACGUAGGGCGCAAGCGUUGUCCGGAAUUAUUGGGCGUAAAGAGCUCGUAGGCGGUCUGUUGCGUCCGCUGUGAAAACUCGGGGCUUAACCCCGAGCCUGCAGUGGAUACGGGCAGACUAGAGGUAGGUAGGGGGAGAAUGGAAUUCCCGGUGUAGCGGUGAAAUGCGCAGAUAUCGGGAGGAACACCGGUGGCGAAGGCGGUUCUCUGGGCCUUACCUGACGCUGAGGAGCGAAAGCGUGGGGAGCGAACAGGAUUAGAA